rnacentral:rRNA from 1 species
AACGAACGUUAGCGGCGCGCUUAACACAUGCAAGUCGAACGAGAAAGGGCUUCGGCCCCGGUAAAGUGGCGCACGGGUGAGUAACACGUGGGUAAUCUUCCCUUGAGCGGGGGAUAACAUUCCGAAAGGAGUGCUAAUACCGCAUAAGACCACGGCUCCGAAAGGGGCUGCGGUUAAAGCAGGCCUCUUCAUGAAAGCUUGCACUCGAGGAUGAGCCCGCGGCCCAUCAGCUAGUUGGUAGGGAAUGGCCUACCAAGGCAAAGACGGGUAGCUGGUCUGAGAGGAUGAUCAGCCACACUGGAACUGAGACACGGUCCAGACUCCUACGGGAGGCAGCAGUGGGGAAUCUUGCGCAAUGGGCGAAAGCCUGACGCAGCGACGCCGCGUGAGUGAUGAAGGCCU